AAGAUCCUUCAUGACAUGAGCCAGCCGGGAAUGUGGACACACACACACACACACACACACUGUGUUGAUGUGAAUGAAAAUGGAGAAGAGAUCUCGAGACCCUCAAAUUUUUAAAGCACGUUAUUACCUUUGAUUCAGAAGAUUCACUUCCAGGAUAUAACAGAUACACGGACCAUGUACGAACUGGUUCAUUUAUAAGAAUAUUAGUUACAGCCUUGUUCCUAAUUGCAAAGAACGGAACACUCCAUGUUCGUCAAUAAAGGACUGGCUGAGUAAAUUGAAGUACAUUCAUAAAAUAGAAACUAUAUGAAAAAAAAAUAGAAACUAUAUGGCUGUUCAAAGAGUGAGGGAGGUGAUGUUAACUGAAUUAGUAUUCAGAAAAGUGCAUUACAGUCUACCACUUGCACAGAUAAAUUAGAUAUUUGCCUAUGUUUGUACCCGCAGACAACAUCUCUGAAAGGUUGCCCCAAGAACUAGUAAUGGUGUUUGUCUACAAAUUCUGGGUGACUGUAGUUCACUGCAAAAUUCUUAAUAAAAAUGAUAAUGAUGAUGAUGAUUUAAAAAAAUAAAAGAAUAGCUAAGGUUUCUAACAUCCCUUUGCCAGCAUCACAUAUUUAUUUCUACCUGCCUGCCACCUAUCUAAUUAAAAUAUCCACAUAUUCACCAGUGUCUCAAUAUUGGGAGGUAAGCACUUUAAUUCUUUGACAUCCAGAAAUUUAGAGAAGUUCAAUAUCUUGCCCUGGGCACCCCACCCAGCUUUGAAGCCAUAGAGCUGGUUUAAUGAUUUAACACUAAAGCUGCCUCUGGAGUCAGGCAAUCCAGAGGUCAGGGAUGGCAACAGAAUAAUGGUCUCCAAAGGUGUUCACAUUCCAAUCCCCAGAACCUGUGAAUCAAUCAGCUGAUCUUUUUUUUUUUUAAAUUUUAUUUAUUUAUUCAUGAGAGACACAGAGAGAGAGAGAGGUAGAGACACAGGCAGAGGGAGAAGCAGGUUCCCUCCGGGGAGCCUGUUGUGGGACUAGAUCCCAGGACCCCAGGAUCAGGACCCGAGCCAAAGACAGAGGCUCAACCACUGAGCCACCCAGGCAUCCUCAGUCAGCUGAUCUUAAAAGAGGAAGAUUAUUCUGAGUUAUCCCAGUUUACCCAGUGCAAUCACAAGUGGUCUCAAAAGUGGAAGUGAAG
rnacentral:lncRNA from 1 species